ACACCUGCUGACACCCCCCCCCCCACUGUACACCUGUGGGGAUAAGUACCUGUUCCACCUGACCUCGCCCUCAACACCUGGCAGGCUGGCACAGAAGUCCAGCAGUGACAGACAAUGUAGUGGAGACACGUGCUGCAGGUGCCCCGCGGUGCACCUGAAUACCCACCUGUCUGCACAGCUACCUGUACACACCUACAACACCUGGCCUGCGUUUGUCAUUGAAGGAGGUGACACCUGGAGGGACUUGCCCAGACAUGCACGUAUAUCUACCUGCCAGGUGCUGGGUCGUUGACCUGUGAUCAGAAUACUCCAUACAGCCUUGUCAAAAGCUGUCACUGUUGCAUCUUUCUGUGACAGCCCCAUGUUGUCUUCUGAUACAGUUUGUAAAGAGCUAUCUGAUUGGCCAGUGUGUGUGGGUAAUCUCCAAGCAGAUCCUACAAUGGCACAAGAUAGUACCAAACUGUCCAGGAGAUAGUCAGCCAAGCUGUGUCCAUUUGUCCAUUCCCCGGUAGCAAAACACACUCCUAAGCCGGUUUCACUCCUUUGCCAGCUUUUGAUACUAUCUUAUGCUACCGUAGGAUCUGCUUGGAGAUUAUGUGUGGGUGCCAGGAGAGAAUGAGGUAAUCUCCAAGCAGAUCUUUGGGGGCAAAACCAUGAUGGCAUGGAAGUACAUGUAGCCAAGGAGGUUAAGCCUUUUUUUUUUAUCCACCUUGAUGUAGCACACUGGAUGACAAAAUUCUAUACUCUUCACCAAACAAGGAAUAAUGCUCUCAAAUGCCUGCUCUUUCCGCAUGGCAAUAGAAUUAUGGUAUGUCUCAACAAACAGGACAUCAAAACAACAGGAAUAUCAAUCAAAUAUACAAUUAUUUUCCCUCUUGUUUUCUGUCCUUUCUUCCAUUUUGUAUUCUUUUCUCUUUUUUCCUUGCUGCUUUUUGUUUCUCUUUCAGUCAUGAAUAUUGCUUCUUCCAUUUUGAUACAUCUUUGUAUAAUUGACUUCUACGCAAAAGGAACAUGAUUACACUCUUGUAGACUUCUGUUUUGCUGGAAAAUACUUUUGAUGUUUAGGUCUCCAAAUAAAGACACCUUAAUGGGACUAAACAAGGAUU